rnacentral:piRNA from 1 species
UAGAGAAAUUCCCAACUCGAUC